AUGAGCUUGGCAGAAUUGCCUGGAGAAGGGAGAGAUGGAGCCAUCAGGAAACAAUCACACUGGUCUGAAAAUGAGGUGACAAGACUUCCAAGUGAGGAAACUGAACAAGAUGAUUGGUAUGGCAGCUUCUUUUACAUCCAUGUGUGCUCUUCACUCCUGAAGAUUACUGCAGGUGGACUGAGACCUUGGAAGCCUCUCCUGUCCAGUUUUGUCUUGAUGCUAGACCUGGCUCACAAUACCGGAAAUUACCAACAUUUACUGUGAAGAGAUUUCCUUGCGUCAGCAUUUUCUAUUACUUUGUCAUGGACUCCUAUUACAUUCACAGAAUGAUUUGAGCUUCUGUUUUUUUCCCUUGAGCAAAGAAGAAAAUAGAAAAAAAAAAGUGUUUGGUUGGGGGGGGCAAUCUUGAUAUUUGUUAUUAUGCAGUUUUACUUGUGAAGCAUAAUUUAUAGCCACAAGUCUCCUUUUUUGUAUUAGGUGCCACUUCAGAUGUCCGAUGCUAAACAGAAAGUGCUAUAAAAAUGUCCGUCCUCCCUCAGAGAGAUUCAAAUGCUUGACAAUAAAGUGAGAAAUGGUUUCACAUGUAACCUUGGUGCCACUUUCAUGGAAUAUUUAUUUGUCAAUUAUUUUAUUCUUAGGCUAGUUUUAUGCCUG
ensembl:lincRNA